AGCACGCCUGACUUUGAGGUGCUUUUCUGCUGGAUGUGCUCUACCUCACUGCUUUGCCAUGAAACACUAGGGAUUUGGGGGCUGUCUCUGGGCAGCUUCCAAGGCUUUAGAGUCUCUGUGUUUUACAGGCAACCCAUGAAGCUUGUGUGGUGCCCCAGUUUUGAUGGAGAAAUAUGACCCUCACGCACUGCCUGCAGCUCAGGACAGGAUGGCCAUGUAGUCCCCCUGAACUCACCAGUACCCAAUGUGUGAAGAGUGCUGCUCCCUGCCCAGUGGAUGUGCCUUGAAGAGGGACCUUUUAUGCACACUUGUUGCUAAUCUGAAUCAAGCAAGACAAGGUGGCAGAAAAAACAAAAAUGAUGUUUCCUACAGUUACUCUGGUCUGAGCUCUGUGUAGGAAGGGACUUGGCCUGACAAGAGUCAAGCACUCAGAGAAAAUGUUAUUGAAGCAUUUCAAACUGGAGCUCUGUUGCUUUUGCUAUUCCACUUUGCAUCACAGUAUCUGGGCUAACAUGAACUGUAAAAGUGCUGUAAAAUGAGGAAGUGCUGGAGAAGAUGAAAUAUCCGGAGGAGAAACAAGGAAGCUGGAGAAAUAAGUCUGACAUAAGGACAGCUGCUUAAAGUCUAUGUUAAAUCAAAGCUCCUUCGUGAUGCAUUUCUGCACAAAGAUCUUAACAGCAGUUGGAUGUGAUUUAGUUUGAGUUUGGAGCUGUAGGUCAAUUCAUUGUGACUUGUCCACAAUGUGGCAAUUGAGGAACUCCUGUAAGACUGUCCAUGGGUUUCUGUUGAGUGGAUUGGUUGCAACAAGUAGAGUGGCACAAUGUCAGAGGGAAACAUGAACACAGGAACUAUUUCUCUACUGGAAACCCCUAUCUGGUAGACUGAUAAAGUCUAAUUCAACUAAUUUUUCCUAAGUUGGGCAAGGAUUAGCUAUUGAACAAGAGGAACCAAGUGGGAAUGACUAACAUGUCAAAGUGUGCAGAAGUGAGAUCAUUUUCCCCGUGAGGAUAUCUUUUUUUGUGUGAUUCCUCAUCAGAAAACUAGAAGUAAAAGCAUUUUUUUUCUGAACAAACCAAGAAGUAAACUGUGAUGACAUUUCCUCAUUUUCAGUUUCCUCAAAGAAACUCAUAGUCUGAUUAUUCACUCAGAGACAUAUUCAUGGAUUUCUUUGCAUUCUAGGAAGAAAAGAAAAAUUGAUAAAUAAAUAAGUAGAGUUUAUACACAUAUUUUAAUAUUCAUUCACAAACACACACAUAUUUGUUGACUGACACCAGUUGUACCUUCACCUUCAUUCGGAACACUUCUGCUUUAGCGAGGGAGCUAAUCACAGCAAUAACUACCUCUUGUAAAUCUAAGGUGGGGUAGCCCUCCAUGUUUUCAAUAGUCUAGGAUUAAAAAAAAAAUUAAAAAAAACCCACAUAUAUUUUGUAGAAGGGUAUGUUGUUUGGAAGUGAUUUCAACUUUAUAGAGGAAAUAAGCUCUAAUUUCAGAAUUUGCCCAGAUGAUCUUUGUUAGAAGAUACGAAGACUAUGCUUCCAAUCAUUCUCCUUCUGUAGAAUGCUCGAUCUCUGUUUCAUUUGCUUUUACCUCUUAUUUAAUCCAAAGGGAAAAAAAAAAAAGUAUUCUGUCAGUAUGUAUAAUAAUGUCAGUUCCUCUUUCUAAGAUGGCAAUGACUAUUUUCUUCCGUAGCUGGGAAGAGUUAUUUGCUCCACUCCUGAAAGUCCAGGAGGGAGAGAACCGGCAUUUUUCAUAUUCAUCAGGCUCUGGCAAGCUUCUGCUUUCCCUGUUCUUUUUGUCACCUGCAUUUAUUUUAUCUAAGUCUAGGUUAAAAAAAAAAAAAAAACAAAAACAAAAAACAAACAAACAAAAAAACCUUCCUUCAGGAGAAUUGGGAUAAGAAGCCAGAUAUUCAGGUUUUUCCUAUGUGUGCUAUGUAUCUAUAAAGUCUGUUUGAUUUGGGAGUACGUCUGUUGGUCUUCCAAAGGUCAGUUAUAUUUCUCCUUUGUAAUGCAGUGAAUAAUUCUGAGUUUGUUAUGAGCAAAGCAUCCAGUCAAGGCAAAUCCCUGACAUUAGACACAUCUCUCAGCAUUCGAAAUGUCCUGCAGUGAAACCUCAUGUAUAAUGUCGAAUGUGUUGCUGCUACCAAAUUCCAGAAGAUUCGACAACAAAUUUUUUUGUCUUUUCAAUGUGAAAAAGAUAUGGAAUCUUUUUUUACUGAUUUUUUUUAAUGAUUAAAUG
ensembl:lncRNA